GAGCCGUUAGCUCAGCUUGGUAGAGCAACUGCCUUUUAAGCAGUGGGUCACAGGUUCGAAUCCUGUACGGCUCA
rnacentral:tRNA from 1 species